rnacentral:rRNA from 1 species
AUUGAACGCUGGCGGCAGGCCUAACACAUGCAAGUCGAACGAGUGGCGGACGGGUGAGUAAUGUCUGGGAAACUGCCCGAUGGAUGGGGAUAACUACUGGAAACGGUAGCUAAUACCGCAUACCAUUGGAUGUGCCCAGAUGGGAUUAGCUAGUAGGUGGGGUAAUGGCUCACCUAGGCAACGAUCCCUAGCUGGUCUGAGAGGAUGACCAGCCAACCGGGAACUGAGACACGGUCCAGACUCCUACGGGAGGCAGCAGUGGGGAAUAUUGCGCAAUUGGCGCAAGCCUGAUGGAGCCAUGCCGCGUGUAUGAAGAAGGCCUUCGGGUUGUAAAGUACUUUCAGCGAGGAGGCGUUACUCGCAGAAGAAGCACCGGCUAACUCCGUGCCAGCAGCCGCGGUAAUUC